rnacentral:rRNA from 1 species
CUACGGGUUGCACCAGUGAGGAAUAUUGCACAAUGGGGGGAACCCUGAUGCAGCAACGCCGCGUGGAGGAUGACGCAUUUCGGUGUGUAAACUCCUUUUAUAUGUCAAGAAAAUGACGGUAGCAUAUGAAUAAGCACCGGCUAACUCCGUGCCAGCAGCCGCGGUAAUACGGAGGUGUGCAAGCGUUACUCGGAAUCACUGGGCGUAAAGGACGCGUAGGCGGGUUGGAAAGUCAGGUGUGAAAUCCUACAGCUUAACUGUAGAACUGCACUUGAAACUUCUAAUCUAGAGUAUGGGAGGGGGAGAUGGAAUUAGUGGUGUAGGGGUAAAAUCCGUAGAUAUCACUAGGAAUACCUAAAGCGAAGGCGAUCUCCUGGAACAUUACUGACGCUAAGGCGUGAAAGCGUGGGGAGCAAACAGGAUUAGAUACCCCUGUAGUC